UAGGGUAGGGUUGGUUUAAGGUUAGGGGUAGGGUUAGGGGUAGGGUUAGGGGUAGGGUUAGGGUUGGUUUAGGAUUAGGGGUAGGGGUAUGGUAGGGUUAGGGGUAGGGUUAGGUGUAGGGAUAGCCCUACCCCUAACCCUACCCAAACCACUAACCCUACCCCAACCUUUAACCCUACCCAUAACCCUACCCCUAAACCUAACCCUACCCCUAACCUUACCUCUACAUUCACCCCAACCACUAAACCUACCUAACCCUAACCCUACCCCAACCCUAACCCCAGCCCUCUCCUGUUUUGCCACUUUUCAGAA